UACGUAGGCAGCGAGCGUUUGUUCGGAAUUACUGGGCGUAAAGAGUGUGUAGGCGGUGUUCCCAGUCUGUUGUGAAAUCUCCCGGCUUAACUGGGAGGGUGCAGCGGAAACUAGAAUGCUAGAGGGUGGGAGAGGUAAGCGGAAUUCCUGGUGUAGCGGUGAAAUGCGUAGAUAUCAGGAGGAACACCUGUGGCGAAAGCGGCGCACUGGACCACAACUGACGCUGAGGCGCGAAAGCUAGGGGGAGCAAACAGG
rnacentral:rRNA from 1 species